AGACAACAAAUAUGAAAUCGUUAUGUGGUCUCUCGACCUGCUAGAAAAAGCUGCUAAAUCUUCCUUAAAUUGUAUCAUAACGUCUAAAAAAACGGUAAGACAUGUUAUAUGACGUCGUGGUGUUGGUGGUAGUGGGCAUUUUUUUUUUUCCAUUCAUAAUUGGAGCACCGAUGCAUCGUUUCAUAAAGUAAUCCAACACAAAAAAAAAGUGUUGUGAUGAACUACAUGUUUUGAAAAUAAUCUGUUGAAGUUUGAAAAACUUCAGGUGGUUAGAAGAAAUUUAACAAGAUCCAAGCUGCUUACCACAGAGCCAUGAUUAAACUUUUUAAAUACA